GAGAGAAUUGUGAAUGACUGUAGUGUUAGUCAACCUUGUGACUAAUAUGUCGUAUCUUUGUAUCUACUGUAAAUGUUGCCAUCUCAUUUUGAGAUUCGUUUGAGAUGGUGUAGACUAUUGUAGGUUUAUAGUUUCUGAUGUACCAGUUUUGAAAACGCACAGAAACCAGAAUGCAUGUUUAUUUUCAUUCACUAUAGUUGUGGCUGCCCAUAAGGUUAUGGAAUCACAUUGUGUUCAUAACACGUGGUUUAGGUAUUGUUGUAAUCAAUGACUGUAUAUUGUUGUAAUCCACUAUUAUUUUGGGCUGAGUCCUCCCAAGGAUUUCCAUUUGGAAUUGUUUUGCCUGUUGCCACCAGCAGGGGGUGAGGGAGCAUAGCGGUUUGUGUCUCUACUCCCCUCAACAACACUUGAAGAAGACGCCUGUGACAACUUUUACUGUUUCUCCUACUCUUUUAAAAAAUGUGUUCUCUUAAACAGAUUCAUGUUUUGGCUCAAACGUUACAGUCCUAAAAAACGUCUGGAGGGCAGCCAUGCAACCAGGCCAACAGUUCCACUACAAUGGCAAGAGCACUUUUGUGUGGUUUAGAUCAGGGUUUCCCCAAACUUUUUGCCAAAGCACUACACAGCUGAUUCAAAUAACUAACUCAUAAUCGAGCUUUGAUUAUUUGAAUCAGCUGUGUAGUGCUAGGGCAAAAAUCAAAAAGAAGUGGAAACAUCUAAGAGCAACAACUGCUCAGCUGCAAAGUAGUAGGCCACACAAGCUCACAGAACGGGAUCGCCGAGUGCUGAAGUGAGUAAAAAUGGUCUGACCUUGGAUGCACCACUCACUACUGAGUUCCUAACUGCCUCUGGAAGCAAUGUCAGCACAAGAACUGUUCGUCGGGAGCUUCAUGAAAUGGGUUUCCAUGGCCAAGCAAGUCUAAGAUCACAAUGCAAAGCUUCAGCUGGAGUGAUGUAAAGCUCGCUGCCAUUGGACUUUGUAGCAGCGGAAACGCAUUCUCUGGAGCGAUCAAUCACGCUUCACGAUGCGGCAGUCAAUUCUGGGUUUGACAGAUGCCAAGAGAACGCUACCUGCACGAAUGCAUAUUGCCAACUGUAAAGUUUGGUUGUUUUAAUUAUUGUCUGGGGUUGUUUUUCAUGGUUCGGGCUAGGCCCCUUAGUUCCAGUGUAGGGAAAUCUUAACGCUGCAGCAGCAUACAAUGACAUUCUAGAUUUGGGAAGGCCCUUUCAUGUUUCAGCAUAACAAUGGCCCUGUGCACAAAGCGAGGUCCAUACAACAUUUGUUGUCGAAAUCAGUGUGGAAGAACUUGACUGGCCUGCACAGAGCACUGACCUCAACCCCAUCAAACACCUUUGGGAUGAAUUGGAACGCUGACUGCGAGCCAGGCCUAAUCGUCCAACAUCAUUGCCUGACCUCUCUAAUACUCUUGUGGCUGAUUGGUAGCAAGUCCCCGCAGCAGUGUUCCAACAUUAGACCAGUGCAAAUCUGUAAUUUGGUCUGAUGACUCCAAAUUUGAGACUUUUGGUUCCAAAUGCAGUGUAUUUGUGAAACGCAGACGGAUCAUCUCUGCAUGUGUAGUUCCCACCGUGAAGCAGGGAGGGGGUGUGGGGGUGCUUUGCUGGUGAUACUGUCAGUAAUUUAUUUAGAAUUCAAGGCACUCUUAACCAGCAUGGCUACCACAGCAUUCUGCAGCGAUACGCCAUCCCAUCUGGUUUGCGCUCAGUGGGACUAUCAUUUAUUUUUCAACAGAACAAUGACCCAACACACCUCCAGGCUGUGUAAUGGCUAUUUGACCAGAAGAAGAGUGAUGGAGUGCUGCAUCAGAUUACCUAGCCUCCACAAUUACCUGAACUCAACCCAAUUGAGAUGGUUUGGGAUGAGUUGGACCGCAGAGUGAAGGAGAGGCAGCCAACAAGUGCUCAGCAUAUGUCGGAAUUCCUUCAAGACUGUUGGAAAAGCAUUCCAGGUGAAGCUGGUUGAGAGUGCAAAGUUGUCAUCAAGGCAAAGGGUGGCUUCUUUUGAAGAAUCUAAAAUAUUACAUGUUUUUUAUUUUAUUUGUCUAACACUUUUUUGUGUUACUACAUGAUUCCAUGUGUUAUUUCAUAGUUUUGAUGUCUUCACUAUUAUUCUACAAUGUAAAAAAUAAAUAAAGAGGACCUCUUGAAUGAG